AAGAGGACGUACAAAACGACCAAAGGUGCGUUUAACAUUGCUGCAGCUUGAAUAGCAUUGAAGAGAUUUAUCUGAGCAUUGGCCAAAUGUAAAUCUUGGCGAACAAUAUGUUUACUGUAAUGUACUUAUCAAUGCGAAACUGUUCAAAUCCUAGGCUGUAUUUCUGUCGCGGCUUGCGGAGGCAAGACGGCACAGGGCACAACGACGAGAAGCAAGUGAAGCUUCCAAGAAGGCUCCACUCCAGGCCGCAGCUCUGUCCUUAGAGCCCCAGUUAAUCGACUCCGAAUCUGCGUCGAUAGAACUGGAAGCAGUUGGGAAGGCUUCAGGUCCAACAGGACCUUUUAACAAAGAAAGAAUGGUGGUGCUGUUGCACAGCACUAUCAAGAUGCGCAAGGCCAACCCACCCGCUCGGCUGCCAAGCUUUUUUUUGAACGAAGAAAUUCUUGGCAUCGAAGCAGAGAUAAGGUUUAACCAGAAGAUAGUCGAAAUCGUGAACCGACUGAACAAAGUUAAAGAGCUCGCUACAAAACUGUACAGUCGUGAUAUGGACUUCGCCAGCAUUGAUGAGGAGCUGAGAGGGAGACACGCGAAACACUCGCUGAUUGU
rnacentral:lncRNA from 1 species